rnacentral:rRNA from 1 species
AUACGGAGGGUGCAAGCGUUGUUCGGAAUCACUGGGCGUAAAGGGCGCGCAGGCGGUUUGGUAAGUCAGAUGUGAAAGCCCACGGCUCAACCGUGGAAGUGCAUUUGAAACUGCCAGACUUGAGUACCAGAGGGGAAAGUGGAAUUCCCGGUGUAGAGGUGAAAUUCGUAGAUAUCGGGAGGAAUACCGGUGGCGAAGGCGACUUUCUGGCUGGAUACUGACGCUGAGGCGCGAAAGCGUGGGGAGCAAACAGGAUUAGAUACCCGUGUAGUCC